rnacentral:lncRNA from 1 species
CACAAACAUCCUGUGAUCUUUAGCAACAGUCAGCUAUGAGCUUUGGAUUUCUGCAACUGCUUACGUUGAUGUGUCAUGGCACACAAACUCAAGGCUGUCUUCCCAAUGAGAAGGACAAGAAACAUCUUCUUUGUCCUUGCUGCUAUCUUCAUUUGUUUGUUCAUUUUUAAGAUAAAAGCUUAGGCUUUCUUUUGUAUUUCUAGGUCCCCAGAAAUGGUGAGGAGGAUCUGGGAAAGGAGAGGGGAGGAAGAGAAGAGGAGUCAGGCUGCAGGGGGGAUGCAAAGACUCUGAUUGCUGAUGAUGGGACUGUAUGGAAAAGAUUUCUUUCAAGCUUACUUGAUGCAAACUGCCUGGGAGAUACUGGCUUUACCAAGGAUUUCUAGGAGGCCUGAGUAUCCCCUCAUGUUGGGAAACAAGCUUCUGGCUUCAGCAUAGGCAGGUAAGGUCGAUCUGGAGGAUGCCUGUUUCAGAUCAUACAGAAAAACUCCUGAAGAAGUGAUAUGAAGCAGCUGCAGAAGACAUGUUCUUAAUAUGCGAUUAUUCCAAGAAAAUGUGAAAAUGGGGCUCUACUUCCAAGAACAGUCAGAGGCAGCAAAGAGCCAAGCAGGGGAAUCUGGGUCUGUGCUGUCACACAUGUGGCCUUAGCAAUCACUCUGAGGCAAACCCUCACACCACAGUUUUGCAUGUUGAAGCUGGAGUGCUGGUUCCAGUCUAAGAUGAAAAGGAGGAGGGAAAAGAAGUAUUAAGAAUAUUUUUUUCUGGUAGUAACAUUCCACAAAAACUGAUUAUUAUUAUUAUUAUUUUUUAAGAUUGCAACAGCAAAUUCUUAAUAAAAUUGCACACAACUGAAAUAAAAACCA